rnacentral:rRNA from 1 species
UACAGGGGGUGCAAACGUUGCUCGGAAUCAUUGGGCGUAAAGCGCACGUAGGCGGUUCGUUAUGUCGGAUGUGAAAGCCCUUGGCUUAACCGAGGAAGUGCAUCCGAAACUGGCGAGCUAGAGUACGAAAGAGGAUCGCGGAAUUCCCGGUGUAGAGGUGAAAUUCGUAGAUAUCGGGAGGAACACCGGUGGCGAAGGCGGCCUGCUGGACAGCACCUGACACUGAGACGCGAAAGCGUGGGUAGCAAACAGG